AUGGAGUCGCAAGGGAUCACGUGGCCAGAUGUUGGUCACGUAUCCCCAACCAGUAUAUGCAGAGGGAGUUAUAACAAUUUUCAUUCACUCUUUUUUGUUUCAUUUCAUUUCCCUCUCAGUUCUCUCUCUUAUCGUCUCUUUCUCUUCUCAGACAACAAAAAACAACCACAACCCCUCCCCAUGAAACCCUAG